rnacentral:rRNA from 1 species
UACGUAGGUGGCAAGCGUUGUUCGGAAUUAUUGGGCGUAAAGGGCGCGUAGGCGGUUUGUUAAGUCGGCUGUGAAAGCCCCGGGCUCAACCUGGGAAUUGCGGUUGAAACUGGCGGACUAGAAUCUGGCAGAGGGGGGUGGAAUUCCACGUGUAGCAGUGAAAUGCGUAGAGAUGUGGAGGAACACCGAUGGCGAAGGCAGCCCCCUGGGCUGAGAUUGACGCUCAGGCACGAAAGCGUGGGGAGCAAACAGG